GUUUUCUCACCCUGGUGCUGUCACUGAUCUCCAUGUGGGCCAGAAGUUUCCCGUUGAUGCUGAAGUUGCAGAAGCGUCCUCCCUCGUAGUAAACGAUGCAGUGUCCCUCACUGGACACUGAGAUGAGGCGAGGACACCUGAAGUGUUCAGGAGCCUCCAGAGCUCGCAGGAGAUCUCCUGUGAUGGACGUGUGGAGGACAUUUGCUGACCUUUGGCCCCGCUGAUGACCAGACCCAGCUCUGCACAGACCGCCACACACGCCACUUCCUGGUCGUGACCCGUGAGGACCGCCCGCGGCGCCGGGUAAUCAGCUAUAAGCAUCGACGACGUCCAGGGAAUUAAUUUCCUCUCCUCGGAGGAACCUGAGCGCUAAUUGGACGCAGCCGAGCCGAAACUCUUAAUGAAGUGUCGGCGCUUUGGCGGAGUUAAUUAUGGAAGAACGGUGCGACGUCGGAGCUGGCGGAGAAAAGGCGGGCUAAUUGGGGACGCGUGCACACUUUGAGGGCGCUGGUAAAAGCCAGCGUUACUCACUGUUGACGGGG